AUUGAACGCUGGCGGCAGGCCUAACACAUGCAAGUCGAGCGGAUGAAGGGAGCUUGCUCCUGGAUUCAGCGGCGGACGGGUGAGUAAUGCCUAGGAAUCUGCCUGGUAGCGGGGGAUAACGUCCGGAAACGGGCGCUAAUACCGCAUACGUCCUGAGGGAGAAAGUGGGGGAUCUUCGGACCUCACGCUAUCAGAUGAGCCUAGGUCGGAUUAGCUAGUUGGUGGGGUAAAGGCCUACCAAGGCGACGAUCCGUAACUGGUCUGAGAGGAUGAUCAGUCACACUGGAACUGAGACACGGUCCAGACUCCUACGGGAGGCAGCAGUGGGGAAUAUUGGGCAAUGGGCGAAAGCCUGAUCCAGCCAUGCCGCGUGUGUGAAGAAGGUCUUCGGAUUGUAAAGCACUUUAAGUUGGGAGGAAGGGCAGUAAGUUAAUACCUUGCUGUUUUGACGUUACCAACAGAAUAAGCACCGGCUAACUUCGUG
rnacentral:rRNA from 1 species